UGCAAGGGCACUCUGUGUUAUACAUGAUCAAUAUGUUAAUCACAAUUUGUUACCUUGCUAAAUUAAAUCUAUUCAAUCCUAUUCCAAUAAGUCCAACAUGACUAUAUUGGUCAUAAUGAUAGAUACAUUUC